rnacentral:lncRNA from 1 species
CAGGCUUUAACCAGUCUGUUUCAGGCUUUAACCAGUCUGUUUCAGGCUUUAACCAGUCUGUUUCAGGCUUUUACCAGUCUGUUUCCAGGCUUUAACCAGUCUGUUUCAGGCUUUAACCAGUCUGUUUCAGGCUUUAACCAGUCUGUUUUCAGGCUUUAACCAUCUGUUUUCAGGCUUUAACCAGUCUGUUUCCAGGCUUUAACCAGUCUGUUUAACCAGUCUGUUUCAGGCUUUAACCAGUCUGUUUCCAGGCUUUAACCAGUCUGUUUCCAGGCUUUAACCAGUCUGUUUCUGGCUUUAACCAGUCUGUUUCCAGGCUUUAACCAGUCUGUUUCAGGCUAUAACCAGUCUGUUUCAGGCAUUAACCAGUCUGUUUCAGGCUUUAACCAGUCUGUUUAACCAGUCUGUUUCAGGCUUUAACCAGUCUGUUUCAGGCUUUAACCAGUCUGUUUCAGGCUUUAACCAGUCUGUUUCAGGCUUUAACCAGUCUGUUUCAGGCUAUAACCAGUCUGUUUCAGGCAUUAACCAGUCUGUUUCAGGCUAUAACCAGUCUGUUUCAGGCUUUAACCAGUCUGUUUCAGGCUAUAACCAGUCUGUUUCCAGGCUUUAACCAGUCCGUUUCAGGCUUUAACCAGUCUGUUUCAGGCUUUAACCAGUCUGUUUCAGGCUUUAACCAGUCUGUUUCCAGGCUUUAACCAGUCUGUUUCAGGCUUUAACCAGUCUGGAAACUAAAC